UACGUAGGGUGCGAGCGUUGUCCGGAAUUAUUGGGCGUAAAGAGCUCGUAGGCGGUCUGUCGCGUCCGAAUGUGAAAACCCGGGGCUCAACUCCGGGCUUGCAUUCGGAUACGGGCAGGCUAGAGUUCGGUAGGGGAGUCUGGAAUUCCUGGUGUAGCGGUGAAAUGCGCAGAUAUCAGGAGGAACACCGGUGGCGAAGGCGGGACUCUGGGCCGAUACUGACGCUGAGGAGCGAAAGCGUGGGGGAGCGAACAGG
rnacentral:rRNA from 1 species